GACGAACGCUGGCGGCGUGCUUAACACAUGCAAGUCGAACGGAAAGGCCCUGCUUUUGUGGGGUGCUCGAGUGGCGAACGGGUGAGUAACACGUGAGUAACCUGCCCUUUACUUUGGGAUAACUUCAGGAAAUUGGGGCUAAUACCGGAUAGGAGCUCCUGCUGAAUGGUGGGGGCUGGAAAGUUUCGGCGGUUGGGGAUGGACUCGCGGCUUAUCAGCUUGUUGGUGGGGUAGUGGCUUACCAAGGCUUUGACGGGUAGCCGGGCUGAGAGGGUGACCGGCCACAUUGGGACUGAGAUACGGCCCAGACUCCAACGGGAGGCAGCGGUGGAGAAUAUUACACAAUGGGCGGGAGCCUGAUGCAACAACGCCACGUGCGGGAUGACGGCCUGCGGGUUGUGAACCGCAUUCGCCUCAGACGGAGCGUGAGUGACGGUAAUGGGAGAAGAAGCACCGGCUAACUACGUG
rnacentral:rRNA from 1 species